GGCCUGUUAGCAUCAGUUGGUUUAGAGCGCCGUGCUAAUAACGCGGAUGUCGUGGGUUCGAUCCCCAUACGGGCCA